rnacentral:rRNA from 1 species
UACAGAGGUCUCAAGCGUUGUUCGGAUUCAUUGGGCGUAAAGGGUGCGUAGGCGGCGCGGUAAGUCGGGUGUGAAAUCUCGGAGCUUAACUUGGAAACUGCCGUGGAUACUAUUAGUCUUGAAUAUUGUGGAGGUAAGCGGAAUAUGUCAUGUAGCGGUGAAAUGCUUAGAUAUGACAUAGAACACCGAUAGCGAAGGCAGCUUGCUACACAAUUAUUGACACUGAGGCACGAAAGCGUGGGGAUCAAACAGG